rnacentral:rRNA from 1 species
UGGGGAAUAUUGGACAAUGGGGGAAACCCUGAUCCAGCAAUGCCGCGUGAAUGACGAAGGCCUUCGGGUUGUAAAGUUCUUUCGCCUGCGACGAUAAUGACGGUAGCAGGAUAAGAAGCUCCGGCUAACUCUGUGCCAGCAGCCGCGGUAAUACAGAGGGAGCUAGCGUUGUUCGGAAUGACUGGGCGUAAAGGGUGCGUAGGCCGCCUUUUAAGUAAGGUGUGAAAUCCUCUGGCUUAACCAGAGAACUGCAUUUUAAACUGAAAGGCUUGAGUACGGAAGAGGAAAGCGGAAUUUCUCAUGUAGAGGUGAAAUUCGUAGAUAUGAGAAGGAACACCAAAAGCGAAGGCAGCUUUCUGGAACGUAACUGACGCUGAGGCACGAAAGCGUGGGGAGCAAACAGG